CUUCCGGAGGCGGUUGGCCGUGGGUAGCUGACCGAAGACACGGUUAAGGGGCGACUACUGCAGUUUCCUGAGGCUGCCUCUUGGGGGCGCCUGGGUGGCUCAGUUCCUUAAGUGUCUGACUCUCGAUUUCAGCUCAGGUCGUGCGUGAUCUCUUAGUUGAGUGAAGAAUUCCAUUAUACAGAUGAAAAAACCAAAGCACAGAGAAAAUCAGUAACAUACAAGACUACAAAGCUACAGUCUCUUACUCUAUUUUUCCUGUCAUUUCCCCUCCACUCCACUCCUGACUUCCUCAGAAUGACAUGAACCAGAAAAGCUGGAGGAUUUCUGAGCCAGUGGCCUCCCAACAGUUUCAAUCAUAUGCUCCUCAGUGAGUAUUUCCUUAUAAACUGUAACAUAUAUACGUUUGUAUUAAUAUAUACCUUCUAUAUACAAAAUUAAAGGAUAAAAAUUAAAAAUAAAAGUGAAUGGAUACGCUAAUAUUUCCUUCUCUACACUUACU